rnacentral:rRNA from 1 species
UGGGGAAUAUUGCACAAUGGGCGCAAGCCUGAUGCAGCCAUGCCGCGUGUAUGAAGAAGGCCUUCGGGUUGUAAAGUACUUUCAGCGGGGAGGAAGGUGUUGAGGUUAAUAACCUCACCAAUUGACGUUACCCGCAGAAGAAGCACCGGCUAACUCCGUGCCAGCAGCCGCGGUAAUACGGAGGGUGCAAGCGUUAAUCGGAAUUACUGGGCGUAAAGCGCACGCAGGCGGUCUGUCAAGUCGGAUGUGAAAUCCCCGGGCUCAACCUGGGAACUGCAUUCGAAACUGGCAGGCUAGAGUCUUGUAGAGGGGGGUAGAAUUCCAGGUGUAGCGGUGAAAUGCGUAGAGAUCUGGAGGAAUACCGGUGGCGAAGGCGGCCCCCUGGACAAAGACUGACGCUCAGGUGCGAAAGCGUGGGGAGCAAACA